UUCCGGUUGAUCCUGCCAGAGGUUACUGCUAUCGGUGUUCGCCUAAGCCAUGCGAGUCAUAUGUAGCAAUACAUGGCGUACUGCUCAGUAACACGUGGAUAACCUGCCCUUGGGACCGGCAUAACCCCGGGAAACUGGGGAUAAUUCCGGAUAACGCAUAUUUGCUGGAAUGCUUUAUGCGUCAAAAGGAUUCGUCUGCCCAAGGAUGGGUCUGCGGCCUAUCAGGUAGUAGUGGGUGUAAUGUACCUACUAGCCAGCGACGGGUACGGGUUGUGAGAGCAAGAGCCCGGAGAUGGAUUCUGAGACAUGAAUCCAGGCCCUACGGGGCGCAGCAGGCGCGAAAACUUUACAAUGCGGGAAACCGUGAUAAGGGGACACCGAGUGCCAGCAUCAUAUGCUGGCUGUCCGGAUGUGUAAAAUACAUCCGUUAGCAAGGGCCGGGCAAGACCGGUGCCAGCCGCCGCGGUAACACCGGCGGCCCGAGUGGUGAUCGUGAUUAUUGGGUCUAAAGGGUCCGUAGCCGGUUUGGUCAGUCCUCCGGGAAAUCUGAUAGCUCAACUAUUAGGCUUUCGGGGGAUACUGCCAGACUUGGAACCGGGAGAGGUAAGAGGUACUACAGGGGUAGGAGUGAAAUCUUGUAAUCCCUGUGGGACCACCUGUGGCGAAGGCGUCUUACCAGAACGGGUUCGACGGUGAGGGACGAAAGCUGGGGGCACGAACCGGAUUAGAUACCCGGGUAGUCCCAGCCGUAAACGAUGCUCGCUAGGUGUCAGGCAUGGCGCGACCGUGUCUGGUGCCGCAGGGAAGCAGUGAAGCGAGCCACCUGGGAAGUACGGCCGCAAGGCUGAAACUUAAAGGAAUUGGCGGGGGAGCACAACAACGGGUGGAGCCUGCGGUUUAAUUGGAUUCAACGCCGG
rnacentral:rRNA from 1 species